GACGAACGCUGGCGGCGCGCUUAACACAUGCAAGUCGAACGGAAAGGCCUGCUUUCCCUUGUGGAUUGCGGGUACUCGAGUGGCGAACGGGUGAGCAACACGUGAGUGAUCUGCCCCCAACUUGGGUAUAAGCCUGGGAAACUGGGUCUAAUUCCCGAUAGGACUGCAGGGUGGUGCCUGUGGUGGAAAACGAUUUUCUAGUGGUUGGGGAUGAGCUCGCGGCCUAUCAGCUUGUUGGUGGGGUAAUGGCCUACCAAGGCGGCGACGGGUAGCCGGCCUGAGAGGGUGGACGGGCACAUUGGGACUGAGAUACGGCCCAGACUCCUACGGGAGGCAGCAGUGGGGAAGAUUGCACGAUGGGCGGAAGCCUGAUGCAGCGACGCCGCGUGGGGGAUGACGGCCUUCGGGUGGUAAACUCCUUUCGACCGCGAGGAAGCCACCUGGUUGGAAGGGUGGUGACGGUAGUGGUAGAAGAAGCACCGGCUAACUACGUG
rnacentral:rRNA from 1 species